UACAGAGGGUGCGAGCGUUAAUCGGAAUUACUGGGCGUAAAGCGAGUGUAGGCGGUUUGGUAAGUCGGAUGUGAAAGCCCCGGGCUCAACCCGGGAAGUGCACUCGAUACUGCCAAGCUAGAGUAUCGGAGAGGUUGGUGGAAUUCUCGGUGUAGCGGUGAAAUUCGUAGAUAUUCGGAAGAACACCAGUGGCGAAGGCGACUGACUGGACAAGUAUUGACGCUGAGGUGCGAAAGCGUGGGGAGCAAACAGG
rnacentral:rRNA from 1 species